rnacentral:lncRNA from 1 species
GGGGGGNGNAGCNUGAGAUAGCAUGCUCCGGUCCAAUCCUCCUUUCUUGGUUUGCAGGCAUGGAGUGUAGGUGCAAAUAACAUUGUGCGUGGUGGCANGAGAAGAGAAUGCGGCCCAAUAAGCCCAAGACCCUUUGCUCCAAAUCAGAACAGUAGGGGUUCCAGCGUAUGAAAAUUGGGGUGCUUUUGGUAGUUGCUGGUCAGGCCCAAGACCCUUUUUUGUUAGUUUGCAGAAACAGGAUGGGCCAUAGCCCAAAUGGAAAGGGGGUGUAACAGUGAGAUUUAGGGGUGGGGUGCCACUGGAUAUUUUGUUGAGAUGGCCCAAGGCCUCUUUUAUUGUUUGCCAGAAAGGGAAUGGAGGUGCGAAUAGCAAACGAGGGGUGCAAGGAAGAAACUCCAGCCACUAGCCAGGCCCAAGGCCAUUUAACCCUAACAGAAACUGAUAGGGGUUCCUCCAAUUUCAUUCCAUUUCAUCACCUAGGGCUUCUUUCCCUCUGAACGAAAGAAGCCAGAGACCUAACCCCCACUGCUCACAGCCAAGACUUAGCUUCCGGCCACCGCGAACUGUGGUCCAUAGCGUCGCCGACCACGACCCUCGUCGCUUGAGCCACCAAUUCGAGGCCGUCGUCCUCCGUCGAGCUGGCCGCCACUAGAUGCAGCCUAAAACCUGUCAGUGCCGAGGGCCGCCGCCACAGACUCCGCCAAACGUCGCGCCAAUCUCUCAUCCUUCCCCUUUCUGCGAGAAUAGCCACUCACCGAGCUAACGACGUCUCACCGGAAACAAAACCCAGGGGAACAAUUUCCCUCAUCAAACUCCGAUACGGCGUGGCUCGAAAGCGAGAGUCUCCCUUUCGUCUCCCUCUCUUAUUCGAAAUCCAAAUCAACACCACAAAUAAAAACAGACAAUGUCGCCGACUCUCACCCUGUUUCUGUGCAUUGAUUGAGUUUGGGUUUUUUUUUUUUGGAUUUUUGGUUAUGAAUAUGUGUUGGAAGAAAAUGGGUAUUGGUCUCUCUUUUUGGUAGUGUUGCUUAUUGAAGGAUGAAGUUGGAGUUGGAGGUAAGAAUGGGAUUCUGUUGUGUGUGAUCUGCGUGAGUUUCUGCUGUUAGAAACGAAAGGUGAGGGAGGAGCUUCUGGUUGUAUGCGCUGGUUGCAAGAGUAGGAGGUGAUGGAGGAAAUUGGUUCCAAAAAGGGUGACACUGUUGAGUUGAUAAGAUGUAAUAUGUGAGUGAGAGGUUGAUGAUGGAUGAUGGAAGAAUCGGUGGGAGAAUCCCAUUUUUUAUGCUNGAGAAAACAGUUUUGGAGAAAGUGAUUCUGUUGAGUGAGUAGUGAUUUUGAUUGUGAGAAUUUGGUUUUGUGAGUGAACCCGNUAGGGAUAGGCCAUGAAGCUUGGGAUUGGAAGAUGAAUUUGUCGAAGAUGAUGAAUUNGGAGAGGAUGGGAAUCAGGUUUUGGAAGAGNAGAAUCGUGGUGUGUGUGAUGGGUGAAAAAGUGGAGAGGUAGGAAUGGUGAGAAGGUGAGAAUGAUAUUGGUUGUUCUGUUGGAUUUGCAGGUGACAAAAGUAUGUUGUUGGGUGAUGAAAAUGUAAGGAGGUGAAGCGGGAUUGAGUUUCUCCAUUUUUCUCUUGUUUGGUGUUUCUGUAAUGGAGGAGGUAGUGAGUGAUUUGUUGCUGGGAUGAUAGGUGCAGUGGAGUGGAUGAUGGGAUGGCGUAAUGAGGCGCGGUGUGUGUGUGAUAGCCAAAAGGGGUGUGUGUGUGAAUCUGUUGGGGGUGGUUAUGGGUUAGAGGAGCAGAGUGGUGGAGAGCCUUCGAGUGUGGUGUCCUUCCUUGCUUGCCAAGACCAAACCGCCUCUGCCAAAAUCAAUCCUCGCCUCCCAAAUUUGCAUCCUUUUCCUCAGGCCAUGUUGUCCUUUUUUUCACAAACGACAAAGCCUUUUUCUUUUUCUAAUUUCCCCUUUUUUUUCUUUUUCUUAAUUAUAUUAAUUAUGCUAAAACAAAGCUAAAAAUAAAAAAAAUAAAAAGUAAAAACAAAAUUCAAAAUAAAAAUAAAAAUUAUGAAAAUAAAAGUAAAAUAAAAGUAAAAUAGAAUGAUAAAAAGGAAAUAAAAAAAAGACAUAAAAUAAGAUAGAAUAAGAAAAUUUGUAUAUCAUUCACCGGACGAAAUUGGGUGUUGACAAAUACAGAAUAAAAACGGUCGGUCAUUAACUCAAUUACUAUGCUUCCAAUCCCAGAUUAAAGACAAGUACACACUACUCUAAUCCAAAUCCAACACGAAUCACCCAACUAAGCGAAGGCUGAUUCGGUCUUCAGAAUUGCAGACUAAGCAAAUGCAAUGCUCAAAUCCAAUCAAUCGUGCACCACACAGUCUAAUCAACUAAGCGAAGAUUAAGCACCGAUUUGACAACUAAGCGUAUACCUAAUCGCAGGCACACAACAAAUUAAAUAUUGAGCAAAUCGGAGCAGCACCAAAAUAUAAUUAUAGUCCGGGAAUCUCAAGGAAACAAAGAAAUAUCGCUAAUGACCAACCAACUAACUUAAGCUAACAUUAAAACUAAAUUAUAGAAAAAUUGUGUGACUCACUUGAAAAGCAAUUGAUAAAUCUGAAAACACAUCAGAACAUGGAAAUAAAAUUGAAAUACCAAAGAAAACGAGUAAACAAAUGGAGUGCAACAAUUAAGCUAAUAAAGAAAAGACACAUAAUCAACUAAAUUGAACACAUCCAUUGAAGAGCUAAAAUAAAGUAAAUAAAAUAAAAAGCAUGACCACUAACUAUAAUAUAAAAAUGCACGACUCAUUAAAGGAUGAAACACUGGAUAAAAAAAUAAAAAUAAAAAACUAUCAAUGCAAGACAUCGUAAAUGCAACUAAUAAGCCUAAGACAAGAAAUGUUGAUUGUUACAUGCAAAUCCAUCACCGAAAAAUACUAAAAAG